CUGAUUAUUUUCAACUAAUCAUAAAGAUAUCGGUACCCUUUAUCUUCUAUUUGGUGCCUGAGCCGGCAUAGUAGGAACCGCUCUGAGCUUACUAAUUCGUGCUGAGUUAGGCCAACCCGGAACUCUACUUGGAGAUGACCAAAUCUACAACGUAAUUGUAACUGCACACGCAUUCGUAAUAAUCUUCUUUAUAGUAAUGCCUAUUAUAAUUGGAGGGUUUGGCAACUGGCUAGUUCCUCUAAUGAUUGGAGCCCCUGAUAUAGCAUUCCCACGGAUAAAUAAUAUAAGUUUCUGGCUCCUCCCCCCUUCUUUCCUAUUACUCCUAGCAUCCUCUAUAGUCGAAGCCGGAGCAGGGACGGGUUGAACCGUAUAUCCCCCUCUAGCAGGUAAUCUAGCCCACGCAGGAGCCUCAGUAGACCUGACCAUUUUCUCCCUACACCUAGCAGGUGUUUCCUCAAUUUUAGGAGCCAUUAAUUUUAUAACAACUAUUAUUAACAUAAAACCUCCCGCAAUAUCACAAUACCAGACCCCCCUGUUCGUGUGAUCUGUACUGAUCACUGCCGUACUACUCCUCCUCUCACUUCCUGUAUUAGCAGCUGGCAUCACAAUAUUACUAACAGACCGAAACCUGAAUACAACUUUCUUUGACCCAGCAGGAGGAGGAGACCCUAUCUUAUAUCAACACUUAUUCUGAUUUUUUGGACACCCCGAAGUAUAUAUUCUAAUUUUACCUGGCUUUGGAAAUAAUCUCCCACAUCGUAACCUACUAUUCAGGAAAAAAAAGAGCCAUUUGGAUAUAUAGGAAUAGUAUGAGCCAUAAUAUCAAUUGGAUUUCUAGGAUUUAUUGUAUGAGCCCAUCAUAUAUUCACAGUCGGAAUAGACGUCGAUACACGAGCUUACUUUACAUCCGCUACUAUAAUUAUUGCUAUCCCAACCGGAGUAAAAGUCUUUAGUUGGCUAGCAACACUUCACGGAGGAAAUAUCAAAUAUCCCCCGCUAUAAUAUGAGCCCUAGGCUUCAUUUUCCUUUUACAGUUGGAGGACUAACUGGAAUUGUUUUAGCCAACUCCUCCCUUGACAUCGUUCUCCACGACACAUACUAUGUGGUAGCACAUUUCCACUACGUACUAUCAAUAGGAGCUGUAUUCGCUAUCAUAGGAGGAUUUGUACAUUGAUUUCCCUUAUUCUCAGGCUACACCCUUAAUGACACAUGAGCCAAAAUCCAUUUCGCAUUAUAUUUGUAGGUGUUAACAUGACCUUCUUCCCACAACAUUUCUUAGGGCUAUCUGGUAUACCACGACGAUACUCCGAUUACCCAGACGCAUAUACAAUAUGAAACACUAUUUCAUCUAUAGGCUCAUUCAUCUCACUAACGGCAGUAAUAUUAAUGACUUUUAUCAUCUGAGAAGCAUUUGCAUCCAAACGGGAAGUCUUAACCGUGGACCUAACCACAACAAAUCUAGAAUGACUAAACGGAUGCCCUCCACCAUAUCACACAUUUGAAGAACCUACAUACAUUAACCUAAAAUAAGAGAGGAAGGAAUUGAACCCCCUAUUAUCGGUUUCAAGCCAACACCAUAACCACUAUGUCUCUCUCAAUAAAC